rnacentral:misc_RNA from 1 species
CAAGCCCAAGGAGGCGGA